rnacentral:rRNA from 1 species
GACGAACGCUGGCGGCGUGCUUAACACAUGCAAGUCGAACGGAAAUGCCCUGCUUUUGUGGGGUGCUCGAGUGGCGAACGGGUGAGUAACACGUGAGUAACCUGCCCUUGACUUUGGGAUAACUUCAGGAAACUGGGGCUAAUACCGGAUAGGAGCUCCUGCUGCAUGGUGGGGGUUGGAAAGUUUCGGCGGUUGGGGAUGGACUCGCGGCUUAUCAGCUUGUUGGUGGGGUAGUGGCUUACCAAGGCUUUGACGGGUAGCCGGCCCGGGAGGGUGACCGGCCACAUUGGGACUGAGAUACGGCCCAGACUCCUACGGGAGGCAGCAGUGGGGAAUAUUGCACAAUGGGCGGAAGCCUGAUGCAGCAACGCCGCGUGUGGGAUGACGGCCUUCGGGUUGUAAACCGCUUUCGCCUGUGACGAAGCGUGAGUGACGGUAAUGGGUAAAGAAGCACCGGCUAACUACGUG